rnacentral:rRNA from 1 species
GAUGAACGCUGGCGGCGUGCCUAAUACAUGCGAGUCGAGCGAACAGAUGAGGAGCUUGCUCCUCUGACGUUAGCGGCGGACGGGUGAGUAACACGUGGAUAACCUACCUAUAAGACUGGGAUAACUUCGGGAAACCGGAGCUAAUACCGGAUAAUAUAUUGAACCGCAUGGUUCAAUAGUGAAAGACGGUUUUGCUGUCACUUAUAGAUGGAUCCGCGCCGCAUUAGCUAGUUGGUAAGGUAACGGCUUACCAAGGCAACGAUGCGUAGCCGACCUGAGAGGGUGAUCGGCCACACUGGAACUGAGACACGGUCCAGACUCCUACGGGAGGCAGCAGUAGGGAAUCUUCCGCAAUGGGCGAAAGCCUGACGGAGCAACGCCGCGUGAGUGAUGAAGGUCUUCGGAUCGUAAAACUCUGUUAUUAGGGAAGAACAAAUGUGUAAGUAACUAUGCACGUCUUGACGGUACCUAAUCAGAAUGCCACGGCUAACUACGUG